rnacentral:tRNA from 1 species
GACUACGAGGCGCAAUUGUACCGCUUCUGACUCCAGAUCAGAAGUUUGCGUGUUCAAAUCACGUUGGGGUCA